rnacentral:misc_RNA from 1 species
GGCUUGAUGAAUUUUUGAACCAGUUAAAAGGUGCUGCACAUGCUGCGGGAGAAGUAGAUUUGGAGAACAAAUUUGCUGCUGCCAGUGAGAGCCUUCGACGAGGAAUAAUGUUUGCAAAUUCUCUGUACCUCUAGUCUAGGAGUGUGUGUACUUGGGGAACUCUCAUUAACCUUAGAUCAAUUGAUGUGUAAAUUCUCCCCCAUUGAUAUAUGAGGACUAACCGGCAUUUCCUUUUCUUCCUUCUAUAGAAAAACUAAUCGAGUGUUCCACUACUCGAGGAUAGAUGUGGAGCACAAGUUAUUUUCCUAGUUGUAGCUGAUGUAUCUCAGUUUUGUAAUAAAUUCGACGCUGGAA